GGAACUGGACAAACUGGAGCAUGAUGCACCACCACUAGCUGGGCCACCUAGACACCAGCGAGCUGGGACAUAACCCAUGGACGCUGCAAGGGAGAGUCAUCAGAGGUUGCAGGAUUUGGGUGCAAAGGGCACAUCCCCUGUAAGGAGUAGCAUGGGGCAUGAUCACAGAGGUUGAGGAGAAGUGUUUUCCAGCCCAAGACCAAAGUUAAUCCCCUUUUCUCUUUUGUAAGAGGGAAGCUGAGGCACUGGGAUUGGGAGGAUCAAAGGCUUGACAUGCACUUGGCCCACCUGCACAUCCAUGGAGGGGACCUCAAGGUGAGAUUUCAUCCCAGGAUCGUUUGGAGUGAAUGUCUGCCUGUCCAAAGCAGUGAGAGUUGAAGAGCUGCUCAGUCUUGCCAUCCCUGCUCUUACAAGGGCAGCUUUCCUCUCCUGAGGGCAUGUUUGGGUGAGAAAAGUGAGACAGUGAGAUGACGACUGCAGGUGGGCGCUUGGUGCCUGUAUCCUCACUUUUAUGCCAUGGAGAUACAGGGAGCAACCUCCAACAGCCCCAUCCUCAAGGCAGGAGCUGCCUGGUGAGAAUUCUAAGUACUGGUGAUCCCAUCAGAUUGCAAUCUGCUGCUCCUCUUUGAAGACAUCACAAAAUGAGCCUCUGGUUGUCCAUCUGCACUUGAAUUAAACCUCAUUGUUCUGAA